AUUGAACGCUGGCGGCAGGCCUAACACAUGCAAGUCGAGCGGGGCGGCGGACGGGUGAGUAAUGCCUAGGAAUCUGCCUGGUCGUGGGGGAUAACGUCCGGAAACGGGCGCUAAUACCGCAUACUAUCAGAUGAGCCUAGGUCGGUUUAGCUAGUUGGUGGGGAAAAGGCCUACCAAGGCGAAGAUCCAUCACUGGUCUGAGAGGAUGAUCAGCCACACUGGAACUGAGACACGGGCCAUACUCCUACGGGAGGCAGCAGUGGGGAAUAUUGGACAAUGGGCGAAAGCCUGAUACAGCCAUGCCGCGUGUAUGAAGAAGGUCUUCGGAUUGUAAAGCACUUUCAGUUGGGAGGCGUUACCGACAGAAGAAGCACCGGCUAACUUCGUGCCAGCAGCCGCGGUAAUAC
rnacentral:rRNA from 1 species